rnacentral:rRNA from 1 species
AUUGAACGCUGGCGGCAUGCCUUACACAUGCAAGUCGAACGGCAGCGCGGACUUCGGUCUGGCGGCGAGUGGCGAACGGGUGAGUAAUACAUCGGAACGUACCCUGUUGUGGGGGAUAACUAGUCGAAAGAUUAGCUAAUACCGCAUACGACCUGAGGGUGAAAGUGGGGGACCGCAAGGCCUCACGCAGCAGGAGCGGCCGAUGUCUGAUUAGCUAGUUGGUGGGGUAAAGGCCCACCAAGGCGACGAUCAGUAGCUGGUCUGAGAGGACGAUCAGCCACACUGGGACUGAGGCACGGCCCAGACUCCUACGGGAGGCAGCAGUGGGGAAUUUUGGACAAUGGGGGCAACCCUGAUCCAGCAAUGCCGCGUGCGUGAAGAAGGCCUUCGGGUUGUAAAGCACUUUUGUCCGGAAAGAAAUCGCGCUGGUUAAUACCUGGCGUGGAUGACGGUACCGGAAGAAUAAGCACCGGCUAACUACGUGCCAGCAGCCGCUGUAA